GACAGAGGGUGCAAACGUUGCUCGGAAUCACUGGGCGUAAAAGGGCGUUGUAGGCGGGAAGGAAAGUCAGAUGUGAAAUCCCUGGGCUCAACUCAGGAACUGCAUUUGAAACUCCCUUUCUUGAGUACCGGAGAGGAAAGUGGAAUUCCUGGUGUAGAGGUGAAAUUCGUAGAUAUCAGGAGGAACACCAGUGGCGAAGGCGGCUUUCUGGACGGUAACUGACGCUGAGACGCGAAAGCGUGGGGAGCAAACAGG
rnacentral:rRNA from 1 species